rnacentral:rRNA from 1 species
GACGAACGCUGGCGGCGUGCUUAACACAUGCAAGUCGAACGCUGAAGCUUGGUGCUUGCACUGGGUGGAUGAGUGGCGAACGGGUGAGUAAUAAGUGAGUAACCUGCCCUUGACUCUGGGAUAAGCCUGGGAAACUGGGUCUAAUACUGGAUACGACAUGUCACCGCAUGGUGGUGUGUGGAAAGGGUUUUACUGGUUUUGGAUGCGCUCACGGCCUAUCAGCUUGUUGGUGGGGUAAUGGCUCACCAAGGCGACGACGGGUAGCCGGCCUGAGAGGGUGACCGGCCACACUGGGACUGAGACACGGCCCAGACUCCUACGGGAGGCAGCAGUGGGGAAUAUUGCACAAUGGGCGGAAGCCUGAUGCAGCGACGCCGCGUGAGGGAUGACGGCCUUCGGGUUGUAAACCUCUUUCAGCACGGAAGAAGCGAAAGUGACGGUACGUGCAGAAGAAGCGCCGGCUAACUACGUG